UACGGGGGAGCAAGCGUUGUUCGGAUUUACUGGGCGUAAAGGGCGCGUAGGCGGCCAGCACAAGUCAGUUGUGAAAUCUCCGAGCUUAACUCGGAAAGGUCAACUGAUACUGUGCGGCUAGAGUGCGGAAGGGGCAACUGGAAUUCUUGGUGUAGCGGUGAAAUGCGUAGAUAUCAAGAGGAACACCUGCGGCGAAGGCGGGUUGCUGGGCCGACACUGACGCUGAGGCGCGAAAGCGUGGGUAGCAAACAGG
rnacentral:rRNA from 1 species